GAUGAACGCUGGCGGCGUGCCUAAUACAUGCAAGUCGAGCGAACGGACGAGAAGCUUGCUUUUCUGAUGUUAGCGGCGGACGGGUGAGUAACACGUGGAUAACCUACCUAUAAGACUGGGAUAACUUCGGGAAACCGGAGCUAAUACCGGAUAAUAUUUUGAACCGCAUGGUUCAAAAGUGAAAGACGGUCUUGCUGUCACUUAUAGAUGGAUCCGCGCUGCAUUAGCUAGUUGGUAAGGUAACGGCUUACCAAGGCAACGAUGCAUAGCCGACCUGAGAGGGUGAUCGGCCACACUGGAACUGAGACACGGUCCAGACUCCUACGGGAGGCAGCAGUAGGGAAUCUUCCGCAAUGGGCGAAAGCCUGACGGAGCAACGCCGCGUGAGUGAUGAAGGUCUUCGGAUCGUAAAACUCUGUUAUUAGGGAAGAACAUAUGUGUAAGUAACUAUGCACAUCUUGACGGUACCUAAUCAGAAAGCCACGGCUAACUACGUG
rnacentral:rRNA from 1 species